AGCGAACGCUGGCGGCAGGCCUAACACAUGCAAGUCGAACGAACUCUUCGGAGUUAGUGGCGGACGGGUGAGUAACACGUGGGAACGUGCCUUUAGGUUCGGAAUAACUCAGGGAAACUUGUGCUAAUACCGAAUGUGCCCUUCGGGGGAAAGAUUUAUCGCCUUUAGAGCGGCCCGCGUCUGAUUAGCUAGUUGGUGAGGUAAAGGCUCACCAAGGCGACGAUCAGUA
rnacentral:rRNA from 1 species